UGGCUGAGACAGUAAAGAAUCUGCCUGCAAUGCAGGAGGCCCGGGUUCAAUUCCUGG
rnacentral:tRNA from 1 species